UCUGGGCACCCAUGGCUCAGUCAAGUUGACAUGUGAAAUUAACCAUCACAAUGAGCAAGUGCAGCUAAUUGGCUGAGUGGUCAUGAGCCUAUUCCUUCAGAAUGUGAAAGCCUGGGAAAAGACUAACCUAUGAAAAAGCAAGGGCUAUGGAUCAAGUAUUCUUUGAAGUGCCCUGUUCACUUCAUGGUUCUGUAGAGAAUUAGAAAACUUCCAGGAGUUUCCAAGAAUGCUGAUAUCCAGUUCACCACUUUACCCACUGGUGAGGAGAAGAAAGUCAAAGGAAACCAUAUGUCUUAGACCUUAGUCUCCACUGGUGACCUCUGUCUACCUUGACCCUUUCUCUAUCAGGUUGGAAGAAGCCUUGGAGGGCACACAGAAGCACUUCCUCCUUUUACAAACAAGAAAAGGGACAGAGUGACAACUUUAAAAAAAUCUACAUCUGAAGUUAGUUCUAUAGUUUCCUAUCUCCAGAAGAGGCAGAAAUGAACUCCACCAUGCCUAAA
rnacentral:lncRNA from 1 species